CAGAGACGCACGCCGUGAAUUUGAUACGGACUUAAAAAAAAGGCCGUUUUAACAGAUGUGCUACGAAUGGGCACAUUCGAAUUAUUACCGAUAUUGUUCAAAUCACACAGACAAAAAAACAAUUAAUAACAGGCAGACAGGGCUCUGGAACUGGGCCAAAGUGUAAGGUUAUGAAAGAACAACAUUUCGGAACAGUCCAUUUGGAUACGGAGAAUUAGGUGGGGGUUGUUGAAACGCUUUGCAGACAGGGACGCAGUUAAAACAACAACACACACCAUUCGCGAGACGGAACACAAUCACCGCGUUGCAGUAUAAACUUCUAACCAAUUAGCAGCCGAGUGGUGAUAAGCAAAGCUCCUGCGGAGACUUGCGUGGGUGAUAGGUUUGACGGGCAACCCCUACAGCUUCGCAGUGAGCCAUGCCACACGCUGCUGAGCUUGGGGCAAUGGCUGUGGCCAAAGUUUCCCGAGCCAACUUUAAAAACGUCUCUGCUGCUGUUGGUGCCGCCGUCGCCUUAUGUUGUCAGGCACCUCAGUACACUCAGCAAGUUAGUUGAUAGAGCUAUCGUUUUGUAGUGUGUCCCCCCCGUUCCCUGCCCGAGUGACCAGCAGACGAGAAACGCGGAGUGGGUGAGAGGGACGCUGUGAUCCAAGCCUUGCUGCACCUGCGCCUGCGAUGGUAAAGCGGUUCAGCCGUUUGACCCCCGGCUACUUUCGCCUGCUUCAGCUGCAGACCCAGUCGGCACAGGAGCUGGCGUGCGGGCACGCCGAAACCCGCACCAACCGUGCCGCCUUGCUGCUCAGCCUGCUGGGCCUGGCGCUCAGCUCCUACAGCCUCAAGCGCAUGCGAGCGCUGCAGCUCACGGGCGAAGAGUGAUGGCUUGCCCGCCCGCCCCGCCCACUCGCUCGCUCGCUCGCACGGUACCGCGUCACCUCCUGGAAAUCGACCCUUGUGCAAUGACUACUUGACUGCGACGACAGCGAUGCUGUUGUCUCCGCUGUAACAAUUCCCCGACCAACCCCCAAACGCCUUCCCCCCCACCCUCCCUGGAUCCUGUUCCCGGGGAUGGUGGGGGGGGGGGGUGGGAGGUGGCAGGUUAAUAUUUUCUGUAGCUCAGCCCCAAACGGCUCCGGGUGAAAUUAAGCCCUGAUUUAAUUAAUGAAAUUUCCAUUUUUGUAUCCCCCACCCCGCUCAAAUUAGCAUUGGGCAAGGCUCAUCUCUGUUAGGAUACUUAAGUCACUGGUGUGGAAAUUCCACUUUGACUUGUCUCCCCAUAGGGUGACCAUAGUUGAAUUAUCAUAGAUCCAUAAAGAAAACACGUUGCCUAUUACUGCAACAUUAAUUACCAGCGAGGCUUCUGUGCACGUCGAUGCACUGUGUUGAGGCUUGCAGGGCAGUGUGGAGUUUUUUUUGUGGCAAAAUGCCAUGCAAUGCAAAUUAUAUUCCUUAGAAAUGGAAUGAUUAGACAUGUUAACUAUGUUCUGUAAAAAUGUUUAAGCAAUUAAGGCUGCAUGCAGCCUUCAAUAUAAAUCAAAUGUAUUUGAUACGAUAGCCACAGCAACAAUUAUGCAUUUAGACAAUAAACAGCCACAUAUUGCAUUGGCACUUUAUUGGGCCUACUCAAUGUAGCACAGGGGACUCAAAUUCACAUCUUGACGAAACAGAUUGGGUGUGUGGUUUUUAUUUGUAUGCAGUUUUAUUUCUGGGGGUUUUCUGGCUGUCUCUGUGAUUUUGUGAACGAGAAAUGAUUAACUCUCACCUGAUUAAAUAAAGGGCAUUUAACGCCAUUGAACUUGUCAGAGACAUCGUAAUGCAACACUCACAUGGCUGAAUAAGGACACUGGGCGGAACUGUGGACACCAAAGUGAGAACGCAUGGCCUGAGUCAACUAAAAGCAGUUGCUUCAGUCCUUGCUUAAUUCCGGCAUAUACAGAGCUAAAAUACUCAUACGUUUCUGCCUUACGAGAGUCCUCUUGAACCCUUAAGAAUGCAAUGUCCCCUCCGCUAAACAAUGACAGGAGUGCAGAAGACGGAAUGCGAAGUCACGAGGCUUUGUGCUGGGUCACGCGUUGCAGACGAACGGGGCAUGAGGGCGCUACGUCGGCAGGUAAAAGCAGCGUGAACCAGCCAGCGGUCACCUGGAACGCAACCCUCGGCACGAUGAAUCGGCAACAGCAACCAAACCACUGCACGGAGAUGCUUUUAAUUGGCCAAACAAGUAAUGUUUAUAAUUCAACUUGGCGUUCUAUAACUUAACCUGGUGAAGACGGUCAAUCUCAAUAACUUAACCCGGUUAAGUUAUUGAGAUUGACUAUCUCUUUAGCAAUAAAGGCCUGGGAGAUGAUUUUGUUGAUAUUCAAAAUUUCGAAUUUGUGGAUAUUGUACCGGCACUCGGUGACGUUACCUUAUGAAUGACGUCAUAGUGUCAUUGACACGCUCUCGACGGCGGACGGCCUUUGCUUGUAGCUGCUAAUAUCUCGCGAAGACUACCACGCAACUGCACGAAGUCGAAUAAUUAAUCGGCCGAGUGCAAGCCAGCGCAGUUGGUGAGCUCACGAACCGUUCUGCUACUCGGCGAGCUAUUCGUCAUCGUGAGAGCCAAUACAUCAUCGACCAAACCUUAAUGGUUUUACGUCUCUGCAUUCACGAUAUGCGGGUGAGCCACUGGCAUGGUUACAGCUGACCACAGCAGUAUUUCUGUUACAUUUUUUAUUGAUAAUUACAAAUAAAAAAAAUCUCAAAAAACAGCCUCAUAAAACAUUCAGUAUGAAAUUAAGAUAACAAACUGCAGUUUUGCUUAUUUUUAAUCUACGUGGCUACUCGUGAAGAAAUAUAUAUCAAUAAUAUUUUAGAAUUUGUGUUACAAAAAGUCAAUUGGGUCUAUGAUUAAAUGAGCCAUUGGUGGUGCUCACGACUGCUAGCAGCUCUGAGCCAGUGUCAGAAAUUCCACAUUUUAAUGACGGGGGUUAGUCCACCCAUAACAAAACAACUGUGGACGUCCCAUACAGUGGUGCUCGUUUUUAAAAUAAAUAAAUUCCAGAGCGAUGGUGGACUGAGUUGAUCUCCAACCAGUAUUUGUGCUCACAACCUCUCGAUUUGGAGUUUGGCGACUCAUGAUGGGGACCUGGCCUCUCUCUAUGCAAAUAGUGCUGAAUGUCGUGACUCCUGGACAGUUGAUCAAUGGCACAUGCUCGCUGCUGUAUCAGUUUACCUGUGACCCUGACCUUUGGUUAAAUUCGAGGAAAAUUCCCUCUCUAAAAUGUGUAACUUGCAACCAGCCGCAAGGCACUCCGUCUAUUCUCCUGGCCACUGCUGUUGGUGUAUUUGUUUUGUUUGUUCUUGAAAACAGUGAAAUGCACUGAAAGGAGGUUUUUUUUGCAGAAGCAUCAACACAUCUACAUUUUCAGUCUUCCGCCUGACGUAUAAGAACCUGUGUGACCACAGCCGAGUACAGUGAACGGUAUCAUUUACGCUUACAUUUUAAGCAGAACGCCUGGAUUUCGCAGAAAUGUGGGCGAUGGUCAUUGCAGAUGCUAUCACCUUCGGGGUAAUCUGCAAAUUUACCUACAAUUUUUGUUGCAUAAUAAUCACGGGUGUUAGGAAGAAAUUAAGUAUAGGGGCGUGAGAAUUAGUUUUUGUGGACCUCACAAAUCUUGUGGAUACUAUUCUCCAGUUAUAGUACAUUUCUCUCCCCCUGGUAUUUGAAAGCAUCUUAUAUUCAGAUCGGUGCGUGCGGCCAGAUUUGUAUAACUUGAUUGACACUGGGCACAGAGUUUUCGAUGGGUCUUACUUUCCAGAGCAUCUAUAAUGCGGAGAAGACGGUAAUAGGAGUUGUGGGCAAUAGGGCUGCCGAUAAGAGGAGUUCAGCUCCAUAAGCUUUAUUUUCAAGUGUUUGUAUUAUUUUUGCGUAUGUUUAAAAAAAAAGUCUCACGUAGAGGUUGUGAAAUAGACUCGCUACACAAUUUGAAUUGUGGCGGAUGAGGGAACUCUGGAGUGAAUUCGGAUUGGACAAAUGGUAAAAAAAUAAAAUCCAUGGAAAUGUAAUUGUAAAGGGAAAGUGCAUAAUGAUUUGAACCGUUAGUGUGGUAGCUUUUUAACGAUAAAGACAAAUGUGACAUUUUGAUACCUACAUUCUUACUCUAUUUCUGAGCUAGAGGCAAUUAAGCGGCGAUGUGAAAAUUGAUUUGAAUUCCAAAAAGCAAUUCUCCAUCGACGUAUUUUAAGUUUUCAAUUUACAUAAACAUUGCAAUGCAGUAUUUUACAAUACCCUGGAAAAGCUAAUUAUAAAGUGACUAUUAAAUCAAGUGAAUAUUAAAUGGGAUUACGUUACAUUGCGUCAGUUUCAGAGGGUAGUUUUUUUUAUUUUUAUCUUCGGUUUUAAGGUUUUAUCAGUGGACAAUGUUCUACAUUUGCAAUAAAUCGAUUGUUUUGUGUUCACGUGUGCAAAACAAACAAGGGGAGUUAGACCUUCAAGCAGGCAUUAAUUAAACAUUUUAAUUACAGUUGAACAGUAUCAGACUAAGGCAUCUCGUUAGCAUCAUGCAGCACAUAUGGAUGGACAUCAUAUGCAGUAAUCUAGUGUUCAGUGGAUUAUAUCGUGAAUACAACUUGACUGUCUCCAACUGCACCAGUGCUGUAUUAUUGUGUGAUGAAAUGAUAACUGUGCAUUAGCAACUAAUACUGUAAUUUUUUUUGUUAAUUUGUCAUCUGGCGCUUACAAACUUGCGCUCUUGUUGACAAAUGCACUGGCACCCGAUACAGGGUUGUAUCUUCAUGUGUGAUUGUUACUACAGAUUGAGGCGUCGCGAAUCUAUAGGUGGUGUGUUGAUACACCUACAGAUGUUUCUAUAGUUGUGUUUAUAGGUGUGUUUGUAGGUGAGUUUUUUUUACGUGAAUAUAUGUAAGGAGCGGCAUUACUAUUCCCAGUUUGCCUAGUUUAAAAUCUUGUCCGUGAACAUCAGCGAUGGCAAUUGGUUUCUGAACCCAAGCUGGGGCUCUUCUAGGUUGACUGUCCAUAAACUGCAUACCUGAUGCAAUGUGAGCAACUUUAACUGAUGAACAACCAAAGCUCUGUGUGCAUAAUGCUGAUUCCACCGGCCCCUUAUGUGCUGUGCCAGCCUUCAUAGGAGCUUGAUAACGGCUCUUGUCCUAGAUAAACUUUGCCUGAGUGUGUGCGCGUGUGUGAAAGUGCGUAUGAUUGUGUGCAUGCAAAACUGUGGGGAGCGGUGGCAUCGUGGUUGGAACACUGCGCUACAAACCUGGUUCCUGGGUUCGAUUCCCAGUUACAGAUAACAUCAGUGGCGGGUGAUAUCCGAACAUGCCUUGGGCCUGCCAUAGGUCGACUCAAAUGAGUACCUGGUGCGGUAUGUGAAUGUCAAAACUGGGGAGACAAAGGUGGCUAAGCGUGGCACUGGUCACACCAACCCUUUGCUGCCAUGCUCGCUAACAGCACUUGCCCCAUAAGUCUUUGUAGGCCAUAUUGGGGACCUAUGGCUUAUGUAUGCAAAAAUGCGCCAUAACCCCAUGCUGUAGUGUAAAUACUUUGAAUUGAAAACACACAAUAAGCUUACUUGGUCUUCGGUCUUGAACUAUGCUUAAACCCUCUCCUGACAUCAGCUUCACAGCCAUUUAUGACUGUGAUUCUCGGAAGUGACUUCGCUUGCGUAUCAAGUUUGGUUCUGGGUACCACAAUUAUUUGUUUACCAUUCGGGUCACGCUACGGAGUGCUCUCCCCAUGCGAUUACACAUAACAAUAAAAUAUAAAAAAUUCAAGCAAAAUCCAUUAACUACCAGUGAGAAUAGUGAGAAUAUUAUUGUGUUAUUUUAUUUUAUCAAUGUAUUAUU